rnacentral:rRNA from 1 species
CCUACGGGAGGCAGCAGUGAGGAAUAUUGGUCAAUGGUCGGGAGCCUGAACCAGCCAAGCCGCGUGAGGGAGGAAGGUACAGAGUAUCGUAAACCUCUUUUGUCAGGGAACAAAGACUGGGACGCGUCCCCGGAUGAGUGUACCUGAAGAAAAAGCAUCGGCUAACUCCGUGCCAGCAGCCGCGGUAAUACGGAGGAUGCGGGCGUUAUCCGGAUUUCUGGGGGUUAAAGGGUGCGCAGGCGGUCUGUUAAGUCAGCGGUCAAAGCCCGGGGCUCAACCCCGGCCCGCCGUUGAAACUGGCAGGCUCGAGUUGGAGAGAAGUAUGCGGAAUGCGCGGUGUAGCGGUGAAAUGCAUAGAGAUCGCGCAGAACUCCGAUGGAGAAGGCAGCAUGCCGGCUCCACACUGACGCUGAGGCACGAAAGCGUGGGUAUCGAACAGGAUUAGAUACCCGAGUAGUC